ACGGCAGCACGGGGGCAACCCUGGUGGCGAGUGGCGAACGGGUGAGUAAUAUAUCGGAACGUACCCAGUAGUGGGGGAUAACUAUCCGAAAGGAUAGCUAAUACCGCAUACGAUCUGUGGAUGAAAGCAGGGGAUCUUCGGACCUUGUGCUAUUGGAAUGGCCGAUAUCUGAUUAGCUAGUUGGUAGGGUAAAAGCCUACCAAGGCGACGAUCAGUAGUUGGUCUGAGAGGACGACCAGCCACACUGGAACUGAGACACGGUCCAGACUCCUACGGGAGGCAGCAGUGGGGAAUUUUGGACAAUGGGGGCAACCCUGAUCCAGCAAUGCCGCGUGAGUGAAGAAGGCCCUCGGGUUGUAAAGCUCUUUUGUCAGGGAAGAAACGGUGAUCUCUAAUAUAGAUUGCUAAUGACGGUACCUGAAGAAUAAGCACCGGCUAACUACGUGCCAGCAGCCGCGGUAAUACGUAGGGUGCAAGCGUUAAUCGGAAUUACUGGGCGUAAAGCGUGCGCAGGCGGUUUUGUAAGUCUGAUGUGAAAUCCCCGGGCUCAACCUGGGAACUGCAUUGGAGACUGCAAGGCUAGAGUGUGUCAGAGGGGGGUAGAAUUCCACGUGUAGCAGUGAAAUGCGUAGAGAUGUGGAGGAAUACCGAUGGCGAAGGCAGCCCCCUGGGAUAACACUGACGCUCAUGCACCGAAACGUGGGGAGCAAACAGGAUUAGAUACCCUGGUAGUCCACGCCCUAAACGAUGUCUACUAGUUGUCCGGACUUAAUUGUCUUUGGAAACGCAGCU
rnacentral:rRNA from 1 species